rnacentral:rRNA from 1 species
UACAGAGGUCCCAAGCGUUGUUCGGAUUCACUGGGCGUAAAGGGUGCGUAGGCGGUCGGGUAAGUCUGAUGUGAAAUCUCACAGCUUAACUGUGAAACUGCAUUGGAUACUAUUCGGCUUGAGAGUUGGAGGGGGGACUGGAAUUCCUGGUGUAGCGGUGAAAUGCGUAGAUAUCAGGAGGAACACCGGUGGUGUAGACGGCUUACUGGACCAUAACUGACGCUGAGACACGAAAGCGUGGGUAGCAAACAGG